GCCAAUACACCACACUAACGCAAUCCACUCACGAAAACACCACAUACUAAUACACAAAACCCUACUCCACCCAUGAAGACAUCACACAGCCAUACACCCAAGUCGCUACACGCCGCAAGAUGACAUUACCCAACGAUCUUUCCGAACUGACCAAGAACCAAAGACUCAUCAGAUGUUGUCAUCGCCCUUGCCUCUGCACCAUAUGGCAGAACGGGAAUACGGAGUGACUACCUUAUCCAUACAAAAGUGAGUUCGGACAACAAUGAGCAAACAAGUGCUAGGGGCGUAAACCAGAGCCAAAGAGAGACAAACGAGCACCAGCACUUUACAGCCUAGCUGCCCAACACUACAACUAGAUUAAAAAGGAGGUACCAACGAGAUAAGCAAAGCAAUAAGUCGGAUUUCGCCCGAGUCGUACAUGUGUUGACCAAAUUAACACCCUACAUAUCAUUGACGAGUUAAAGGACAAAUUGCAGUCGACUCUUCAACUCUAGAAAUGGAGGAAAUCCUGAGAAGCUUAAUGCCUAUGUAGCUUGUCGGUGGCUUUGUACAGAGUUCCACAGAUGCAAGCGCAGAGAAAUCUCACAUAUGCCGUUGACAUUCGCUUAUUGCCUGUAAAACACUCCGACAUGCGAGCAAAAUGUAAGGAUCUACACGCUGUGUCGCGUAGGAUUGGUUCAAAAAUUAACAACGA